rnacentral:rRNA from 1 species
AUUGAACGCUGGCGGCAGGCCUAACACAUGCAAGUCGAACAGCGGCGGACGGGUGAGUAACGCGUGGGUAACCUGCCCUUAAGUCUGGGAUACCAUUUGGAAACAGAUCCUAAUACCGGAUACUAAAGGAUGGACCUGCGAGGCAUUAGCUAGUGGGUAAGGUAACGGCUUACCAAGGCGAUGAUGCAUAGCCGGGUUGAGAGACUGACCGGCCACAUUGGGACUGAGACACGGCCCAAACUCCUACGGGAGGCAGCAGUGGGGAAUCUUCCACAAUGGGCGAAAGUCUGAUGGAGCAAUGCCGCGUGAGUGAAGAAGGUUUUCGGAUCGUAAAGCUCUGUUGUUGAUGAAGCGGUAAUCAACCAGAAAGUCACGGCUAACUACGUGCCAGCAGCCGCGGUAAUAC